UGUGAAUCCAAAAAUAUGAAGUUUGUAAUGCCUCAAAAUUCUAACUUUUUGAGCACCAACGUGUCCCUCAAAGGAAAUGCUCAUUGGAGCAUUCCCAAUUUCAGAUUUUCAGAUCAGGGAUGUUGAACUGACAACAUAAGUGCAUAAUAAUAACAGCCAUCAGAGGGUCAAAGUAUUUUAAACCCAAUGGGACACUCUAAGUAGGUAUUGCUGGCAACAAGCUAAAUAUAGUGUAUACAGGAAGAAGUGAGGAGGGG